UACGUAGGGGGCGAGCGUUGUCCGGAAUUAUUGGGCGUAAAGAGCGUGUAGGCGGUUCGGUAAGUCUGCCGUGAAAACCUGGGGCUCAACCCCGGGCGUGCGGUGGAUACUGCCGGGCUAGAGGGUGGUAGAGGCGAGUGGAAUUCCCGGUGUAGCGGUGAAAUGCGCAGAUAUCAGGAGGAACACCGAUGGCGAAGGCAGGUCUCUGGGCCACUACUGACGCUGAGAAGCGAAAGCGUGGGGAGCGAACAGG
rnacentral:rRNA from 1 species